CCAGGAGUCACCUGACGAGGCAGAAAAAGUGAUUAAAUGUGCAUUUAAGCAUAUUUACAUGGAUGCACACCUUUGAGAAGCCUACUCUGUGGUAGUUAAGAAUCACAGAUGUUGAUUGCAGUGCCUACCUUGUUCUGUUACAACUGCUAUUUCUGUUGACAAAAAAGUGUGCUGUACCAGAGAAAGUCCACAGAGAACAGUAAUACUCAGCAGGUGCCAAUAAGGACAGAAUCGGAGAGCUAAUUUAAUCUGCUUCUCAGGUUGCUGAAGGUAGCAGCUGGAAUUCCACUAAUUAUCUCCUUCCCAUCUUAGCUUAUAAAGUUAUGGUAUUUCUCAUUUGGGAAAUGAAGGUACUUGCAAUCCACCAUCCCCUGGUCUCUGAGAAGUGACCCAGCCUGAUGCAUAUAUAUCCAUCCUGCUUCAUUCCACCACUCCUUUCUAAGCCAGCAGCCUAAUAAUGAAGCUCUUCAUGAGACUGUGAAGCCAGUACCAGCAACAAUGAGUCUUCAUUAUUCCUGGAGAAGACUGGGGUGUUUGAUAUGCAUGAAGCUUUGUGCAGAUAGCUACGACUAUAAACUGCCAUUUGUUACUGUCAAACAAAUAAGUGUUACAACUAUUUAGAAGUGUUGCUCUUCUC
rnacentral:lncRNA from 1 species